UACGUAGGGGGCAAGCGUUGUCCGGAUUUAUUGGGCGUAAAGAGCGUGUAGGCGGCCAGACAGGUCCGUUGUGAAAACUCGAGGCUCAACCUCGAGACGCCGAUGGAAACCGUCUGGCUAGAGUCCGGAAGAGGAGAGUGGAAUUCCUGGUGUAGCGGUGAAAUGCGCAGAUAUCAGGAAGAACACCCGUGGCGAAGGCGGCUCUCUGGGACGGUACUGACGCUGAGACGCGAAAGCGUGGGGAGCGAACAGG
rnacentral:rRNA from 1 species